rnacentral:rRNA from 1 species
GAUGAACGCUAGCUAUAGGCUUAACACAUGCAAGUUGAGGGGAAACGGCAAAGAGUGCUUGCACACUUUGGACGUCGACCGGCGCACGGGUGAGUAACGCGUAUCCAACCUGCCCUUUACUUGGGGAUAACCCGUUGAAAGACGGACUAAUACCCAAUGAUAUUCAUUGAUGACAUCUGAUUUGAAUUAAAGAUUUAUCGGUAUAGGAUGGGGAUGCGUCUGAUUAGCUUGUUGGUGAGGUAACGGCUCACCAAGGCAACGAUCAGUAGGGGUUCUGAGAGGAAGGUCCCCCACAUUGGAACUGAGACACGGUCCAAACUCCUACGGGAGGCAGCAGUGAGGAAUAUUGGUCAAUGGACGAGAGUCUGAACCAGCCAAGUAGCGUGCAGGAUGACGGCCCUAUGGGUUGUNAACUGNNUUUGUUUGGGAAUAAUCGACAUUACGUGUAAUGUCNUGCAUGNNNCAUUCNAAUAAGGACCGGCUAAUUCCGUGCCAGCCGCCGNNGNAACACGGANNNNCNNNG